CCUACGGGUGGCAGCAGUGGGGAAUAUUGCACAAUGGGGGGAACCCUGAUGCAGCGACGCCGCGUGGGUGAGGAAGUACUUCGGUAUGUAAAGCCCUAUCAGCAGGGAAGAAAAUGACGGUACCUGACUAAGAAGCCCCGGCUAACUACGUGCCAGCAGCCGCGGUAAUACGUAGGGGGCAAGCGUUAUCCGGAUUUACUGGGUGUAAAGGGAGCGUAGACGGCGUGCCAAGUCUGGUGUGAAAGGCCGGGGCUCAACCCCGGGACUGCAUUGGAAACUGGCAUGCUGGAGUGCCGGAGGGGCAAGCGGAAUUCCUAGUGUAGCGGUGAAAUGCGUAGAUAUUAGGAGGAACACCGGUUGCGAAGGCAGCUUACUAAACUGUGACUGACAUUGAUGCUCGAAAGUGUGGGUAUCAAACAGGAUUAGAUACCCCAGUAGUC
rnacentral:rRNA from 1 species